rnacentral:pre_miRNA from 1 species
CAGACAAACAACCCUGGUUUCCGUGUCCAACGUUUGACCGUCCGUCUUAUUUAAAAAAUUUAUGAAAAAAAUUAAAAAGACAAGUCACGCAUAAAAUAUUAAUCAUGUUUUAUCAUCUAACAACAAUGAAAAUACGAAUUAUAAAAAAAUUUCAUAUAAAACGAACAGUUAAAGUUGGACACGAAAACUCAGAGUUUGUCUUUUU